rnacentral:rRNA from 1 species
UACGUAGGGUGCAAGCGUUAAUCGGAAUUACUGGGCGUAAAGCGUGCGCAGGCGGUUUCGUAAGUCUGUCGUGAAAUCCCCGGCUUAACCUGGGAAUGGCGAUGGAGACUGCGAGGCUAGAGUUGGCAGAGGGGUAGAAUUCCACGUGUAGCAGUGAAAUGCGUAGAGAUGUGGAGGAACACCGAUGGCGAAGGCAGCCCCUGGGUCAAAACUGACGCUCAUGCACGAAAGCGUGGGAGCAAACAGG